rnacentral:tRNA from 1 species
GGCUUGCUGGUGUAGUGGUAUGAUUCUCGCUUUGGGUGCAAGAGGUCAUGGGUUCGAUUCCCGUGCAAGCCC